CGGAGACCAACUGGUUAGUUACGUUUGCUUGGGGCUCUAAGUUUUACCGAAAUAAAGAUAUUGGGGAUGUCGAUGCUUAUCGUUGUUAUAUUCAUGUUAGUUGUGGCACCAAUAAAGUGUGGUCAAGAUUGUCUUUCGUGCACUGGUAUUGAAACUGCAGGCGAUUGUGAUCGACGUGAGACAUGCAAAGAUGAUGAGGU